CUGGUCGUUUCUAUUCUACGUUUUGUUUUAUGUACCGGCACUCUUACUUGCUUAUAAAGAUGCGGCCAUUUCAAAAUUUCUACUGGGAGGAAUCUGGUCGAUUGCACAAAGCUCCAUACCAUCAGCUGUUAUGGCGUUUUUCCUGUGGACGGUUCAACGUAUUUUCCUCGCCCGUUGGGUAUUUCGCGACAGAGAUUUCCCGAAUUUGACUGUCACUAUUGAUAAUCGACGGCUGUUUUCCAUAUUGUCUUACGUGUUUGUUUUCCUCAACGUCAUUGUGGGUUUGUUUUCAUGCUUGUUACGCAUGCUAAAAGGAAUGAUACUGGGGCUUUUCUUCUUUUCUCGCCUCGACAAAACGUGUCUCAUGCAAGGAUUUC